UAAGAAUGCUGUGGGAUGUUGUGUA
rnacentral:piRNA from 1 species